rnacentral:sRNA from 1 species
ACACCCGUAUUAUUGCUGUUAUGGGUUUGAACCGAGCUUAGCCUUGUUCAUUUUUUUACACAAUAGCUCUGUAAAAAAUUGAACACACCCCACUGAGCACCCUGUCGACAUGCGGGCAAAGCGCCUCUGAAAGGCCUUGAAACGCCCCAAAAAUGGCCAUCAUGCCCCACUACAGGGCAU